rnacentral:rRNA from 1 species
GAGUUUGAUCCUGGCUCAGGACGAACGCUGGCGGCGUGCUCAACACAUGCAAGUCGAGCGGAAAGGCCACUUCGGUGGUACUCGAGCGGCGAACGGGUGAGUAACACGUGAGUAAUCUGCCUCUGGCUUCGGGAUAGCCACCGGAAACGGUGAUUAAUACCGGAUAUGACAUCUUCACGCAUGUGAUGGGUGUGGAAAGUUUUUUCGGCCAGGGAUGUGCUCGCGGCCUAUCAGCUUGUUGGUGGGGUAAUGGCCUACCAAGGCUUCGACGGGUAGCCGGCCUGAGAGGGUGACCGGCCACACUGGGACUGAGACACGGCCCAGACUCCUACGGGAGGCAGCAGUGGGGAAUAUUGGACAAUGGGCGGAAGCCUGAUCCAGCAACGCCGCGUGAGGGAUGACGGCCUUCGGGUUGUAAACCUCUUUCAGCACAGACGAAGCGCAAGUGACGGUAUGUGCAGAAGAAGGACCGGCCAACUACGUGCCAGCAGCCGCGGUAAUACGUAGGGUCCGAGCGUUGUCCGGAAUUAUUGGGCGUAAAGGGCUCGUAGGCGGUUUGUCGCGUCGGGAGUGAAAACACCGGGCUUAACUCGGUGCUUGCUUUCGAUACGGGCAGACUAGAGGCAUUCAGGGGAGAACGGAAUUCCUGGUGUAGCGGUGAAAUGCGCAGAUAUCAGGAGGAACACCGGUGGCGAAGGCGGUUCUCUGGGAAUGUCCUGACGCUGAGGAGCGAAAGUGUGGGGAGCGAACAGG